rnacentral:misc_RNA from 1 species
AUGAAACGAAUGUCGAGAGGGGUUGUAGCUGGCCUUUCGGGGCAUGUGCACGCCUCGAUCGCAUAUCUACCUCUCACACCUGUGCACUACGUGUAGCUUGGGGACGAUCACGACGUUAGAAAUGACGUCGAAAGCCCUAGCUAUGAUUUUUUAUAAACCCAUGUAUGUUACAGAACGGAUGACGUUAUAGUGCGUAACAGCACGAAUAUAUA